CGACACUGUCCUGCAAUGUUCUCCAGCUUCAGUACAUCAAGACUCCCAACUCCAGAUGUAUUUAAAUGCCCUUCAUCCGACGCUGCAAGCGGAAUCUAGAAGGGAAAAGGAAAGAAACCCCAACACUAGCAGACGCCCCGCUGCCGUCAGCCUGAGUGGUGGGAAGGAGCAGUGAGCAACAAGUACAUGGAACUUGUCACAGACAAACCAUGUCACUUUCAGCAACAGCGAGAGAACGUGCUUUUCGCAACUUCUCAGAAACAGUAAGCUGCUUUCUAUGAUUCUUCCCAAGAGUUUUGGGGGUGGUAAGACAGACAACUUGGAAAAUUUUUGUUCAGAAGCAGUUAACAUUAUAAAACAACUGAAAACAGAAACUGCCUGUCAUACUGGAUUUCGUAAACUUUCAGUCUCUGCUAACAUCACUGCUUCCAUAUUAUAUUCCAAUUAUUCUUAUUUAUGUCUGCUAUCCAAAGCACAUGAAGCCUGGUGAUAGAAAACAAAGAAAAGACUGGAUUUA